GGAAGUAAAAGCCGUAACAAGGUUUCCGUAGGUGAACCUGCGGAAGGAUCAUUACCAAGCGAAAUCUUUCAACACUGAAAGAUCUUUUCCUUUGUGCUGGCUUUGACCGUAUGUAAUUUUGGGACUUUAACAUGGUUCGCAAGCGCCGGUCCCAAAAACAAUAUAUCAUCCUUAUGAAAUUUUUUCUGAACAAUUAAACAAUAUGAUUUUAAUAAUCUGUUUAAGACAACUUUCAACAACGGAUCUCUUGGUUCUG
rnacentral:misc_RNA from 1 species